rnacentral:rRNA from 1 species
ACUCAAAUGAAUUGACGGGGGCCCGCACAAGAGGUGGAGUAUGUGGUUUAAUUCGAAGCAACGCGAAGAACCUUACCUGGGUUUGACAUCCCAUGAAAAGUGCAGAGAUGCAUAAUAGCCGCAAGGCACAUGGAGACAGGUGCUGCAUGGCUGUCGUCAGCUCGUGUCGUGAGAUGUUGGGUUAAGUCCCGCAACGAGCGCAACCCUUUCCCUUAUUUGCCAGCAUUAAGUUGGGCACUCUAGGGGUACUGCCGAUGAUAAAUCGGAGGAAGGUGGGGACGAGGUCAAGUCAUCAUGGCCCUUACAUCCAGGGCAACACACGUACUACAAUGGCCAAGACAAAGCGAUGCAAGAUUGUAAAAUCAAGCCAACCGCAAAAACAUGGUCUCAGUUCGGAUUGUGGUCUGCAACUCGACCACAUGAAGUUGGAAUCUCUAGUAAUCGCAGAUCAGCAGGCUGCGGUGAAUACGUUCCCGGGCCUUGUACACACCGCCCGU